rnacentral:rRNA from 1 species
CAGCAGCCGCGGUAAUACGUAGGGUGCGAGCGUUAAUCGGAAUUACUGGGCGUAAAGCGUGCGCAGGCGGUUUUGUAAGACAGGCGUGAAAUCCCCGGGCUCAACCUGGGAAUGGCGCUUGUGACUGCAAAGCUAGAGUGCGGCAGAGGGGGAUGGAAUUCCGCGUGUAGCAGUGAAAUGCGUAGAUAUGCGGAGGAACACCGAUGGCGAAGGCAAUCCCCUGGGCCUGCACUGACGCUCAUGCACGAAAGCGUGGGGAGCAAACAGGAUUAGAUACCCCCGUAGUCCCUGUCUCUUAUAC